rnacentral:rRNA from 1 species
GAUGAACGCUGGCGGCGUGCCUAAUACAUGCAAGUCGAGCGAACAGACGAGGAGCUUGCUCCUCUGACGUUAGCGGCGGACGGGUGAGUAACACGUGGCUAACCUACCUAUAAGACUGGGAUAACUUCGGGAAACCGGAGCUAAUACCGGAUAAUAUAUUGAACCGCAUGGUUCAAUAGUGAAAGACGGUUUUGCUGUCACUUAUAGAUGGAUCCGCGCCGCAUUAGCUAGUUGGUAAGGUAACGGCUUACCAAGGCAACGAUGCGUAGCCGACCUGAGAGGGUGAUAGGCCACACUGGAACUGAGACACGGUCCAGACUCCUACGGGAGGCAGCAGUAGGGAAUCUUCCGCAAUGGGCGAAAGCCUGACGGAGCAACGCCGCGUGAGUGAUGAAGGUCUUCGGAUCGUAAAACUCUGUUAUUAGGGAAGAACAAAUGUGUAAGUAACUAUGCACGUCUUGACGGUACCUAAUCAGAAAGCCACGGCUAACUACGUG